rnacentral:lncRNA from 1 species
UGCUGCAUUAGUGUUGUCGUGUGAUAAAUUAAUCAGUUUUUUUUUUUAAAUCUUCUUAGACACACUUAAGUUUGAAUUCAUGUUUUAACUUUGGUUGCGUGCAUGUGUUUUGGAAUAUAGUUAGGAAAGCGAAAGUGGAAGAAGAUGAGCUUCGAUGUGAGUGAGGGACGACAAUAGUAGGUACCUGCCGGCAAUGCGUCCCCGUGACAUCUGCAACAUUGAACAGCGUGGGUUGUGUUGUUACCGUCUGCCGUCUGGGUGUGGAAAUGUGGAAUAUUUACUGUUUAAACCAACAUUAAAAAAAUCUUUGCUACUCAACGGUCAACAUGUAAGUGAGGAGCUGUUUGAUAGAGCCCUGUUGGAGGAGGAGUCCAUGCUGAAGGAGAUCUAUCACCAACUGGAACAGGACGACGCCGACGUUGCUGAGGAGGAGGUCGAGAUCGACGUUGACCGGAGUGCAGCCGCUGACCGCCCUGUGAGAAGGAGAUUCCCGUCGACAAGGCUUAAGGAUUUUGAAUUGGGUUAGCGGGAAUGGGAAAUUGGGUUAAUUGCAAUUUGGUUAUUAUGUUAUGUUAUUUCCUUAUAACUAUUUAGCUAAUUAGUUUCAGCAAACGUGUACCCCUAUAAAAGGGUAACUCAAGCAUUUUAUUAAUUAAUCAAUAUUUUUUAAGUUUCUAAAAAACAAAUUGGGUUGCAACAACCCUAGUUUUAAACACUGUUUUAUUGCUCCAGCCGUCAACCAUCUCUCCCAAAUCUCCAUCCAGCCAAGUCCACUUCAUCAUUGGUGCUUUCAAUCCCUCCUGCCGGCCGGGUCUAGCUCAAAGUCCGACGAUCAUUUGAAGAUCUUCAGAAGACAAAGAAAAAAAAUCUGCAAAUACAAAAAAAAAACAAAUCAAAAGCAUGUUUUCUGCUUAAGAGAUCCCAAUCAGGAACGUAUACAACUAUUCGAUUCAAUAUUAAUUCUAUUAUUGAACACAAAAAAAAAUUUCAAGUCAUUGAUUUUAUGGAGGAACAUCUGAAGAAGGUUUUGUAAACCUAUAAAACUACAAAAAAAAUCUCUCCAAAAGCGUGUUCUCUGCUUAAGAGAUCCGGAUCAGGGACGUAUUUAUUAAUCCCUAUCUUUAAAACUGUUCUUCUAUUCAGUGACAUAAUUAUAUUUCAGAUCUCCAAUCAUCGGGGGUAAUGACAGAAAAUAUGAAGGUCCAAUUAAAAAGACUUUAAAUAAAGCAUGACACCGAAGCUGAAAGAUUAAGAAGUAUGGAACAAACACUAGCAAAGAUGAGCGAAACCCUACUACUCAUCAGUAAUACAGAACCACACGGACAGGGACAGCAGAAGCAAGAGAUGAAAUACAAGUCAAUUAGGACAGAAAUGCCUAAAUUUGACGGUGAUAAUGUACAAGGCUGGAUUUAUAAAGCAAAAAAGUAUCUAAGGUAUCACAACAUACCAGACGAAGAAAGAAUUACAGUGGCUACAUUCAACAUGGAAGGAGAAGCUCUGGAAUGGCUUCUAUGGGCAGAUAACAAUAAUGCUCUUAAGUCCUGGUCUGAUUUUCUGGACGACCUUGUUAAGAGAUUUGGUACUUCAGCUUAUGAAAUACCUGCGGGAAGGCUAAGCAAACUAAUGCAAACAAGCUCUGUGAAGGAAUACCAACAUCAAUUUGAAGCUAUGUCUAAUAAAGUUACCGAUGUUAAUCCCGGAAUGAUGAAAGAAAUAUUUAUGUCAGGAUUAAAGAAUGAAAUUCAAAAAGAUGUUAUUAAAGCUAGACCUGAAAAUUUGGUGGAGGCAUUUGCUCUGGCCCAAUUGUACGAAAGAAAUGAUAUGAGUACUGAUAUUGUAAGGUACUGCCCAGCAGCAAGCUCAAUAGCUAGUGAGGUAUAUUCUAAACCAUCCAGCUCAUUAUAACCCUAUAUACCACCACAUAGAAAAGCAUUAGCACUACCACCCAUUGAAAACAAAAAAUGACCUAUUUUGAGACAGAAACUCACUCCUGCUGAAAUGAGAAUAAAAAGAUCUAAGAACGAGUGUUUUAAUUGCACUGAGAAGUGGGAAAGAGGCCACAAGUGCAAAGGAAGGCUAUUUUUACUAUCAGUUGAUGGAGAGUGCUUUGCUGAAUAUACAUAGCCUAAUGAAGAUGAAGAAUAAUUUGUUGAUGCUGUUGAGGAAAUCAGGGCUGAACAUACUCAUAUAAGUUACCACUCACUACAAGGCCAACUCAGUCCAAGAACCCUGAAAUUAGCUAAUAUUAAUAAUUUAAAAGUAUCAGUUUUGCUAAAUUCUGGCUCCACUCACAAUUUUCUUCAGGAGGAGGUGACAAGGUAUUUAAGACUACCAAUCACUCCUAUUCCUUCAUUCCUAGUGUCUACAGGAAGUGGGGUUUCAUUAAGGUGCGAUAAGAUGUGUAAACAAGUAAAAAUGGCUGUUCAAGGUGUGACAAUGAUAAUUGAUAUGUUUGUUCUGAACAUGGAAGGGGCCAACCUUGUAUUAGGAAUCCAAUGGUUCAAGAUUGUAGGAUCAGUUCUGUCUAAUUACACAGACAUGAACAUUGAGUUCAAUUGGAAUGGAGAAAGGAUUAAAUGGGUGGGUGAACCAAUCCUAACUGAUGAUGAGUUAUCUAAAAAUGAAAUGAAUUCCCUAGCAGCAACUACUGUUGGAGCAUUUUUCUGCAGGUUUGAAUAUAUUGGGGAAGUGAACUCGAAAAAACAGAAAAUAAAGGAAAAUACUGAAAAUAAAGAAGAAAUUAUGACCUCUAUUAUUACUGAAUUUUCUGAUGUGUUUGAUGAACCUGUAGGGCUGCCACCUCUGAGAUCACAAUUCCAUAAUAUCACCUUGGAAAAAUCAGCAGACCUGUUAGUGUAAGGCCAUAUCGACAAGCCCAAUUUCAGAAGGAUGAGAUUGAAAAAAUUGUUCAAGAAAUGAUGAAACAACAAAUUAUUAAAGAAAGCAGCAGUCCUUAUUCUUCUCCAGUGUUAUUAGUAAAAAAGAAGGAUGGAAGUUGGAGAUUGUGUGUUGAUUAUAGGGCCCUAAAUAAAAUCACAAUCAAGGAUAAAUUCCCUAUACCUACAGUAGAUGAGAUCCUUGCAGAAUUAAAAGGAGCAAAAAUAUUUUCAAAGCUGGAUUUAAGGUCUGGAUAUCAUCAGAUCUUAAUAAAUCCUAAGGAUGUGGAGAAGACUGCCUUUAGAACUCAUCAAGGGCAUUAUGAGUUUCUAGUGAUGUCCUUUGGCCUCACUAAUGCACCAGCAACCUUUCAGGCUACAAUGAACAGAAUAUUCUCACCAUUUCUAAGAAGGUUUGUUUUUGUUUUUUUUGAUGAUAUAUUAAUUUUCAGUUCUUCCAAGGAGGAUCACAUUGAUAAUCUCAAAACAGUAUAAAAAGUACUCAGGGAUAAUCAGCUCUAUGCCAAACAGUCUAAAUGUCUUUUUUUUUCAAAAUGAGCUACAAUUCCUUGGUCAUAUAAUAUCAGGUGAGGGAAUUAAGCCUGACCCAGAGAAAGUAGCAGCAAUAAUGAAUUGGCCAUUACCAAAAAAUAUCAAAGCAUUGAGGGGAUUCCUAGGAUUAUCAGGCUAUUACAGGAAAUUUGUAAAAAAUUAUUCUCACCUAGCGGCACCUAUGACUGAUCUGUUAAAAAAAGACAAAUUCAUAUGGAGUGAAUUAGCAGAGAAGAGCUUAAUGGUAUUGAAGGAAGCUAUCACAUCAGCCUCAGUCCUACAUCACCCUGAUUUUUCUAAACCCUUUGCCAUUGAGACUGAUGCUUGUCUUAAUGGACUUGGAGCAGUAUUGAGCCAAGAGGGCCAUCCCAUUGCAUUUUUCAGUUCAAAAUUAUCAGGGAGGAUGCUCCUAGCUUCAACUUACUCAAAAGAAAUGCUAACAAUUACACAAGCUGUUUCUAAGUGGAGACACUACCUAUUGGGUCAUCAUUUUGUUAUUCAUACAUAUCAUCAGAGUAUUAGGAACAUGAUAAAUCAGAUAAUCCAAACCCCAGAUCAACAAAAAUUCCUAUGUCAAUUAUUGGGAUUUGAUUAUUCGAUUAAAUACAAGCCUGGAAAAGAGAAUAAGGCAGCUGACGCCCUUUCUCGACAGUUUGAAGGCCUUAAUUCAGAAGAAGAAAUUCAGAGAGGAUCAUUAUUGAGUUUAUGUGCUGUGGUUAGUAAUUUGUUAGUCAAAGUUAAAGAUGAACAAAAUUCAAGGGAAGAUCUAUUGGCAAUAAAGGAGACAGUUCUUGUAGGGACUGGAAAAAAUCAGUAUAUGAAUGUUAGAGAAGGUUUACUUUUCAAAGGAGACAGCUAUGUAAUGUCAAAUAAUUCAAGCCUAAUUAAUGAUAUUUUUAGAGAAUACCAUGAUAGCAUAAUUGGGGGUCAUUCAGGAGUGGAAAGGACCAUCAAGAGGAUUAAAUUAAUCUUUUGGUGGAAAGGAAUGUCUAAAGUAGUUAAAAAAUAUGUGGAUGAUUGUAUGGUGUGUCAAAGGAUGAAGACUCCUACAAAAAAACCUCAAGGCCUGUUGAAACCUCUACCUACACCGGAGGUAGUGUGGAAUGACAUCUCCACAGAUUUUAUAACUAAUCUACCAUUAGUAAAAGGAAAAUCAGUCAUUAUAGUGGUGGUAGACAGAUUAUCUAAAUUCUGUCAUUUGGGAGCUCUUCCAAAAGAAUUCAAUUCCAAGAUGGUGGCUGCUUAUUUUGUUAAAGAAAUCAUAAGACUACAUGGAAUUCCAGCAUCCAUUGUAUCUGACAGAGACAAAGUGUUCACUAGCAGUUUUUGGAAAGAAAUCAACAAACUGAGUGGAACUACACUAAAGCUAUCUUCAGCUUACCAUCCGGAAACAGAUGGACAAACUGAAGUAAUAAACAGGGGUAUUGAGAUGUAUCUGAGGUGUUUAGUCCAUGAUCAACCAAAAAAACGGUUAGAACUACUUCCUUGGGCAGAAUUGUGGCAUAAUUCUACAUUCAAUGUGUCUAUAGGAAUGACACCCUUCAUGGCUCUAUAUGGAAGGGAAGCAAAUUCUUUUAUUGAACAGACUAGAGGAAUCUCAUCUAACCUAGAGGUUGAGGAAGAAUUGUUAAGAAGGCAAGAAAUACUGGAAACUGUAAAAAUUAAUCUAGACAAAGCAAAGGAGAGAAUAAAGAGGCAAGCAGAUCUUCAUAGAAGGGACAUCGAAUUUGCAGUGGGAGAUUGGGUUUUCGUUAAACUAAAACCUUAUAGACAGAUAUCUACAACACAGAGGCUCCAUCACAAAUUAUCGACUAGAUUUUAUGGUCCCUAUGAGAUUUCAAAAAAAAAGAAGCGAAGUGGCCUAUAAGGUAAAACUACCUGAGUACAGUUCAAUUCAUGAUGUUUUUCAUGUUAGUUUACUAAAGGAAUACAAGGGAAAAGUACCUCCGGAGGAGAUUGGAGUCCUUCCCAAAUAUCAGUAAGAAAUGAGUCCAUAAUAUACCCUGAAGCAAUUCUUGGAAGAAGAUCAUUGCUAGGAAAGGGGAAGAUGACGGAAAAGGUGCAGAUUCGCUGGACUGGGCGCGACAGGAGGGAGACAUCUUGGGAAGAACCGGAGAAGCUACGGGCGGCGUUCCCAUCGUUCAACCUUGAGGACAAGGUCGAUUUGGAGGGGGAAGGAGAUGAUAGAGCCCUGUUGGAGGAGGAGUGCAUGCUGAAGAAGAUCUAUCACCAACUGGAACAGGACGACGCCGACGUUGCUGAGGAGGAGGUCGAGAUCGACGUUGACCGGAGUGCAGCCGCUGACCGCCCUGUGAGAAGGAGAUUCCCAUCGACAAGGCUUAAGGGUUUUGAAUUGGGUUAGCGGGAAUGGGAAAUUGGGUUAAUUGCAAUUUGGUUAUUAUGUUAUGUUAUGUUAUUUCUUUAGAACUAUUUAGCUAAUUAGUUCCAGCAAACGUGUACCCCUAUAAAAGGGUAACUCAA